UUCCCAAUAGCUCAUUGGGUAGAGGACGAGGCUCUUAACCUCAGGGUCGUGGGUUUGAGUCCCAUCCUCCGGCAAAA